rnacentral:rRNA from 1 species
AUGACCAACUGUCGGCCCGCCUCCACGCCGGUCGACACGAAGCCCAAACUCUCCGCCGCUGAGGGUGAGCUUGCCGACGACGCCACCGAGUACAGGAGCAUCACUGGCGCCCUUCAGUACCUCACACUGACGCGUCCAGAUCUUCAGUAUGCCGUGCAACAGGUAUGCUUGCAUAUGCACGCGCCGCGGCAGCCGCACUGGGCCAUGGUGAAGCGCAUCCUGCGCUAUGUUCGGGGGAGCGUCGGACACGGCAUCACCAUCUCCGCCUCGGCACCGACCGAGCUCAUCGCAUACAGUGACGCUGACUGGGCAGGCUGCCCCGACACGCGGCGUUCGACAUCCGGCUACUGUCUCUUCCUCGGCGGCUCGCUCAUCUCGUGGUCGUCGAAACGACAGCCCACUGUGUCUCGCUCGAGCGCCGAGGCCGAGUACCGUGCCGUGGCCAACGCAGUUGCUGAGUGCUGUUGGACGCGCCAACUUCUUCAUGAACUUCACUCCGGUAUCGACAGGGCCAGCGUCGUCUACUGCGACAAUGUGUCGGCAGUCUACCUGGCUCACAAUCCAGUUCAUCACCGCCGCACCAAGCAUAUCGAGUUGGACAUCCACUUCGUUCGCGAGAAGGUGGCUCUUGGUCAGUUUCGCGUCCUUCACGUGCCCACCACGUUGCAGUUCGCCGACAUCAUGACUAAGGGGCUGCCCACCGCCACGUUCGAGGACUUCUGA